AACGACAGGCAGGACUUUCUUAAAGAAAUGUGAGGGUAGGACAGCCAGACAGCAGGAACUGGAGCUUAAUUGACUUAGAAUUUCUUCUAGGGUUUUAUAAUUAACAAGAACUUUUUCAUAAAUAUCAAGUAAACAUUUACUUAAGCUUCUAUAUAUAUUCUAUAUUUUGCUGAAAAUACUUGUAAGUUUUGUCUUAAUUCAAAUUUAAUAAAUAAAAAAGACUAAAAAUACUUGUCAAGAUUGUGUAUUUGCAGUGUAUCUCCGUUUUGAUUCCUGCUUUCUGCUGUAAGACGGAAAGUUAAGUUAAAGUUUUCAGACUUUUUGAUUGCUGCGUUAUUCUAAAUAUACGAUUUUUCUCAAUCAUCUACAAAUAGACCUAGAAUCAGCGUUCUGACAAAUCUCAUAAUUUGAAACAAAAGUCGCUCAUCAGCCGUUUUAGCCCGAUAUGCGAGUCCAUUAAGCGUGUUGUCCAAGCUAAGCAUUGGUGUGCAGAGCAGCCCUGCUGUUGAGAGGCGGAUGUGCUUAGUGAGGCUUUCUUGUUUCAGUCAUUAUUACAGAAGCUGCAGAGAUGUCUGGCUGCUAAUAGCUCAUCAUUGCAAUGAUUAGUGGAACUGCAGAAACACAAUUACACCAAGAAUGAUGCAGUUCAGCUGGAGAAAAUGUGCUAUUCUCAUACACAAAGAGUUGCUGGUGUUCAUUUAGUAACUUCCAUGAACCCAUUGCAGCGUAACGUCACACACCAGACCCCAUCCCCAGCUUCCUGCUGGAGGGCAAAAAGUUGUUUGCUAACGAUGACUAGCAUUGGUUUUAGCUGCCAAGUUGUCAAUAAAAUGCAAUAAAUAUUAAAUUAAAUCGUUUUUAUUCUGCGUUAUUUUCCCUUUGCUGUGGCUCUGCACUGAAUUAAUAACAGCUUCAUGGUUUCAUUUAGUUAACGGUUCUACCAGCGCCGCGAUGGACGGAAAAGAAAAGAAUCGUCUUUUUGCCCUCCAGCGUUGUGCGGGAAAAAAUGUAAAAAACAGCAUGCAACGGGUCCAUAGGAUUGUCAUCAUUAACCCUACAGCUAGCUUAUAUGGUCAGUGGUUUUGUAUAAAUUACAUAUUGCUAAUGGUUUUCAAAGAUACAGAAUAUAUUUUAAGAAACAGUUACACAGCUUGCUUGAACUUGCUUAUGUUUUUACAAAGUUUUACAGCCACAAAAUAUUUCUGAAGUACCACUGCUAUGAUUUAAACUCCUUUCCAAGAGAUUUUCUAAACUCAAACUGCAGCCACGUUUCCCAUCCAACGGAUUUGAGAAGUCAGUCGGUUGUAUGAAAGAACGAAGGAAGGCGAUUCCUGAGAACUUUUCACUGAAGUGCACCAAGCUGAUUAUUGGAUAGCUGAGCUUUCUUGCUUCUGUUGUUUAAAAGAAACGCUGUGUAUAAUUUCAAAAACAAGCAUUUAAGUUUCUCAAACAGCAGAAUAUUUGUCUUUCAGCCAGCUGACUGGCAGUGUGCAGAAAAAACUCCAAAUGCUUUUUUCUGGCAUCUCAUUUAAUUCUUGUAGACCGAAUGUGUCGACAGCCAAAUUUGCAGUACUGUAAUUCAGCGACACUUUGUGCCAUCUGAAAAAAAUCCAACGUUCCUGAGACGUUUGGCUUUCCAGCCGACGUCGGGUUAUUACGAUGUCUCUAUAGACGGUAAAUUAUGAAAAUAACUACUAUACUGAAAUUUCCAGUUAUGGAUAAAUGAGCAAAUUAUUUACUCUCAGGAGAUUUAAAGAACUUCUUACAGUUAAAAUAAGCAAAAAUAUCCAGGUGGAGCUUUUAAACUUGGGGCUCAAAGUUAAACCAUAACUUCUUAAAACGUUGACGCCUGUAGCUGUAAUUCUGAGUGGAUGCACAAAUGCUCACAGCCCAUCAGAUUGGAUGAACAAUGCUGCUUUUCCUCGGCCUUGGCGUAAACCGGAGCCGCUGCCCCGAUGGAUCGGCUAAGUGGUGUUUUUAGGCUUCACAGCACGGCGCCGUGCUGCAGCUCUGAAG